rnacentral:rRNA from 1 species
GCAGCCGCGGUAAUACGGAGGAUGCGAGCGUUAUCCGGAUUUAUUGGGUUUAAAGGGUGCGUAGGCGGUUUAUCAAGUCAGCGGUUAAAUGUCCGGGCUCAACCCUGGCCUGCCGUUGAAACUGAUGAACUGGAGAUAGUGUGGAGUAUGCGGAAUGCGCAGUGUAGCGGUGAAAUGCAUAGAUAUUGCGCAGAACUCCGAUCGCGAAGGCAGCAUACUAACACUAAUCUGACGCUGAGGCACGAAAGCGCGGGUAUCGAACAGGAUUAGAUACCCC